GUGAACUUGGCCGCUACAUGGCCGUGCCAACUGCUUUCUCUGUACUUCACACUCGUAACAAUAAGGUGCACGAGCUUUCAUUCACGAGUCACUCCCUACGCUUAAAUGCACGUUUACAGAACACGCAUGACUUGCCAGUGAACUUGGCCGCUACAUGGCCGUACCAACUGCUUUCUCUGUACUUCACACUCGUAACAAUAAGGUGCACGAGCUUUCAUUCACGAGUCACUCCCUACGCUUAAAUGCACGUUUACAGAACACGCAUGACUUGCCAGUGAACUUGGCCGCUACAUGGCCGUACCAACUGCUUUCUCUGUACUUCACACUCGUAACAAUAAGGUGCACGAGCUUUCAUUCACGAGUCACUCCCUACGCUUAAAUGCACGUUUACAGAACACGCAUGACUUGCCAGUGAACUUGGCCGCUACAUGGCCGUACCAACUGCUUUCUCUGUACUUCACACUCGUAACAAUAAGGUGCACGAGCUUUCAUUCACGAGUCACUCCCUACGCUUAAAUGCACGUUUACAGAACACGCAUGACUUGCCAGUGAACUUGGCCGCUACAUGGCCGUACCAACUGCUUUCUCUGUACUUCACACUCGUAACAAUAAGGUGCACGAGCUUUCAUUCACGAGUCACUCCCUACGCUUAAAUGCACGUUUACAGAACACGCAUGACUUGCCAGUGAACUUGGCCGCUACAUGGCCGUACCAACUGCUUUCUCUGUACUUCACACUCGUAACAAUAAGGUGCACGAGCUUUCAUUCACGAGUCACUCCCUACGCUUAAAUGCACGUUUACAGAACACGCAUGACUUGCCAGUGAACUUGGCCGCUACAUGGCCGU
rnacentral:lncRNA from 1 species